UCUGGUGUUCUCUUGCCACAAACCUGUAAAACCUCCACUCUUGCCUUUUCUUGCCAGUUUGGAUUCAUAGAUAAAACGAUCAAUGUCCAUGUGAGCCAAUUUGCCGUGGUCUCUUGACCAGCAAAGUAGAGCAGCUUGCAUUCCUCUAUUAUAUCCUCAGUUGUUAUGUCAUUUUCAGACUGCUUUUUGCACUGCAGCAGCAAGUCUAGCAAGUCUACAUUGCUGGACUUGGCCUGCUCUUUCCUGUGGAUCAUAUCCCGUAAUGUUGUUUUGAUCUCCUCGUCUAUAGCAUAUCUCCUCUUGUUCUUUUUAGUGGGUAUAAAUCUUACACCAGGAAAGUAAUGGAGUGAUGAGCUUCGAGGACCAAAAGAACUUGCUCUUCUUGAAGUUGAAAUAUUUUCUUUCCCUCUUUGUAGUUGCUUCCAAAGGCAGUUUGAGCGAUUACAUCACCGGCAAGAAUAUGAAAUUCUGUUUUAACAUCCAAUUCACACCAUCCUUGAGCACUCGUUAACUCGUUCCACCGAUGAAUCAGAUCACAACAACUCCUUGUAAAUGCUGGGAUCAUACCCUUUAGUUUCUCGAGAUGGAAAGCUGGUGUUAUCAGUUUUCUGCGUUUGGCCCAUUUCUCUCCUUCCAAGCUUGAGACUCCUCGUUCUAAAAGAUCCACAAGGGGGUUCACUGGUGGCCUUACAAAGUGACCACACUUUUCUGUUAACACCCACUUGAUCAGCUCUGGCUCUGCCAGCAUCAGCCUUGGUCUUGUUCCAAACCAACUCAUGGAGACCUUCCCAUAAUUCUUCACCAUUGCAUCAAAGAAUGGGAAUACACGUGGAAUAAUUGGGUCAUUUAGAGAGAUGGGUUUGGUCACUGCUUCCAUGUCACACCUUAUAAUUUCUUUCCUGUCACCAUGUAUAGGCUUGUAAGAAGUGCCUCUGAUCCCUUGCCCCCUUAAAUGCUUCUCUAUGCUUUUUGGCUUCAACCAAAUAACAUAGGCUACUUCUAUUAGAGCAAUAGAGAGUUAAUAAUACAAAAGAGAAGAGCAUAGUUUGGAAAAUAGAAACCUCCAUUUUUCCUUUGCUACAAACUGCUAACUGAGCUUGUUGGAGGAAAUGAAACCCAAGAGGUGAUGGAUUCAUAGGGU
rnacentral:misc_RNA from 1 species